rnacentral:rRNA from 1 species
GACGAACGCUGGCGGCGUGCUUAACACAUGCAAGUCGAACGGAAAGGCCCUGCUUUUGUGGGGUGCUCGAGUGGCGAACGGGUGAGUAACACGUGAGUAACCUGCCCUUGACUUUGGGAUAACUUCAGGGAACUGGGGCUAAUACCGGAUAGGAGCUCCUGCUGCAUGGUGGGGGUUGGAAAGUUUCGGCGGUUGGGGAUGGACUCGCGGCUUAUCAGCUUGUUGGUGGGGUAGUGGCUUACCAAGGCUUUGACGGGUAGCCGGCCUGAGAGGGUGACCGGCCACAUUGGGACUGAGAUACGGACCAGACUCCUACGGGAGGCAGCAGUGGGGAAUAUUGCACAAUGGGCGGAAGCCUGAUGCAGCAACGCCGCGUGCGGGAUGACGGCCUUCGGGUUGUAAACCGCUUUCGCCUGUGACGAAGCGUGAGUGACGGUAAUGGGUAAAGAAGCACCGGCUAACUACGUG